rnacentral:rRNA from 1 species
UACGUAGGGUGCGAGCGUUGUCCGGAAUUAUUGGGCGUAAAGAGCUCGUAGGCGGUGUGUCACGUCGUUCGUGAAAACCUGCAGCUUAACUGUGGGCGUGCGGUCGAUACGGGCAUCACUGGAGUUCGGCAGGGGAGACUGGAAUUCCUGGUGUAGCGGUGAAAUGCGCAGAUAUCAGGAAGAACACCCGUGGCGAAGGCGGCUCUCUGGGACGGUACUGACGCUGAGACGCGAAAGCGUGGGGAGCAAACAGG